AUCAACAUAGCUUAAUUAGGUAGAACGUUGUUAAUCCAAAGACAGAGGUGUAGGUUCGAUUCCUACUGUUGAUUCCA
rnacentral:tRNA from 1 species